CUGCACUACUGCAACGAUGACCCUGUUACUGCUAUUGGUCACAGGUUGAUGUUCUCUGAUAUUUUGUUGUAGUUGGGUUCGCCAUUAACUCCCGAAGUGUCGAUGAACAGUCGUCCCGUGGCCAUCGAAGGACGCCAAAUCUCGCUCGCGUGGCAUUUUUCGCUCGAGCAACUUGAGCCCGCUGUGUCUGUCUGUCUGUGUGUGUGUUGCUUUAGUUUACUUUGCGUCAUUCGCGCGCUCGGCUCGGUUCGGUUCGCAGGUCUUGCGCGCCACUACGACACGGUCGCGAUUACGAGCGCGCAACUUCCCCCCGUUAACCGAGCGCCUUUGCGCACCAACAGCCUCCCCUUCCACCCAUUCGUUGGCCAUGGUCAUGUGGCAACGGUUUGGCCAUGUGUGUGGUAGUAGAGCGUGAGUAAAGUGAACCAGCAGCAGCAGCAGCACCACCAGCGUUUCAUAUCGUGCCAUUUAAUUGUGUUUAAAUACAGCUCGUGACUCAUCGCAAACAUACCGCAAUGCAAGCGAGCUACAGGCAAGGCAGGCGACUCGGCGAAGGGUGAUGAAGCCGCUCUCUUCUAGCUCCCUUGCCCCUUCCUAUUUCGCUCUAUCUCUCUAUCUCUCUCACUCUAUUGUUUGCUCGCUCGCACUCUAGUGUGCGGUCCGUGUCGAAAACACGCAAAUAUACAAACGCAUACUACACACCGUCGCUUCGCUAUCAGUUUACGAAGCAACAGAGCACCCAGUCACCCUUUGUGCUCCCCCCUACCUUCUAACCUUCCUCUAUUUUCUCUCAGCUUCACCACCAACCCUCCCCCCCCCCCCUCCAUCACAGCUGGCGAGAAUGCCAUAUUUACCCAACAACCUUUGACGAACAAGUGAGAGCGAAUGUACAGCAUUACUUACCGCGAUUUGGUAGUGCUGGUAUAGUAGAGAGCUUAGUGUUGCGCGGUGUUGUACACGCCCGAAGGCACUCAUACAGCAGUGUAGGUUAUAUACAAUGGGUAGCAGGUUCUAAACAAGGGGUUUCGGAGCAGGUGCACUAGGGCAGGAUUGUGCUACUAAGCAGCGACCGAGCCACUUAACGCAGUGCUAAGCAAAGGAAAUGGUGUGCUGACAUUUGCCUUAUUUGUUGGAAGCUCUCUCGGUGAGUCGUCACGGGUGCAUAUCGACUUAAUCCAUCAUAGCUGUCCGUGCCAAUGCGUACCACUGGGCCGAGUAUUUGGCCUCAUUCGUGUAAUCCUAUAUGCGCUUGAAAGGGAUUUACGCAGAUGUCUCUAUUUGGAGAAGGCAACGUCUUAUAUUGACGCAUUGUUAAAAGUGUCCCAAUGCCCUUCGGGGUGCGAGAAGAAGGUGAAAUACUAUCACAAAGGCCACUCUUGUUACGUUGGAGAUGAUCAUCACGAACAAUUUACCCCCCCCCCCCCCCCCCCCGCCGAAUGGGACUCAGUACAUAUUUUAGUGUCCUACGUACUUGUACCCAACAAACAAAGCCCUCAAAGCCACACCACAAGAAACUGAUAAAGCUGGCCACACACCACAGAAAGACGGACUGCUGCUGCACACUCACCGCACCACUAGCAACAGAUAAGCGUUAACAACGUACAACCACACCACCGUAUGUUCUUUCCGGUGACAGCUGUGAAGAGCACUGCUUUUCGGUUUCCCAUACUAAUCAUCAUGAAUUGCGCGGUUAGGAAUGAACAAAGGAGGCGGACUUUUGGGAGCGUGGUAAGGACCGCAUGUGUACUCCACACUUUCGACUGGCAGCAUAUCACAACACAUCGCUAGAACACAUAUCGAGACCCCCAGACGGCAUGGCUCCCGGAAGUUGGAGCUAUUUGGUGGCCCAUUUUACAAGACCACUGCCUGCAUCUGCUAUUAAUACACGCGUGCUGGACCAUUUAAACUGCUCUGGUUUAGAGGAGCAUUGCAAUUCUGAGCAAUAACUCAAAUGACCUCAAGAUGUAGUAAUUAGUAUAACGGUCUAUACCUAACGGUAAACAUUUAAGGAAAUCCUAAUCCAACGAGGCAACCAAGGUUUCGUCAGGCGUGCUCCGCGAAAGAGAACACCGACGGAGGUGUGACCACGUGUACACUACACGGUAAAAUUAGAUCCUUCCUAGAUUGUCCCCAAACAAGUUCCGCACACGUUCCGGGUGGCCGUCGCCACAUCGCAAGGUCGUCCAGAACAUAGCUACACUUCCUGCUUCCCGCGCCUCUACACCGGAAGAGUUCAAGGCAGGAGUUGGUGUAGAUCUUGCCGAAAAGAAACCAGCCCGUUGGUUGGCUACCGUCCAACAGCUGGCCACGGCACCAAAGGCGUUUAUAGCGUUGUAGCCAAAGUAAAUGACACCACAAAGCGAAUUUAUGAAUUCGCAACAAAUACUACCGACACACCACCGGGCAACACACGAAGGUGAGAAGAGAGCAGGGAGUGAGACUACGACAGAUGGCAGAUGGUGGAAUGCACUAAUAAAUAAGGCGGAUUUCCAGCGGGUCCAAAAUGCAGUUGUUUGGCUGGUGGAAGCAGCGCAAGAGCCGUUUCUCUUCAUCUGGUUCAGGUGACCCGCGACAGGCGACGAGAGUUGACGAUCACCCAGCCUGCCGCAUUGGAAAUGGAUACAUGGCACAAUCCUCUCUCCCCCCCCCCCUUCCGGCUCCUCCAAUACUACCGGCACAUUCCGAUGUGUUUAAAAUUAAAAUCUUACGUAUCGUGGACGAUGCGAUCAUCCUUAUACUCCGUGAGGCAAAGAAUAAAAAAAAAAUAAGGAAGGACAGUGGCAAAGAAGUAACAACAUGUACAUCCCCCUCCUCCGCAGAUGAAAGAUGGGCCUGGCUGCACCGUGUGUGUUGGAUGUGUGUUUUGGUAAGGAUUUUCCCCGGUUGGGCUGGGCGGGUCGGUUAUGAAAAUAAACUCCCAAAAAUCGUCAAACAA